UGAUCCUGGCUCAGGAUGAACGCUGGCGGCGUGCCUAACACAUGCAAGUCGAACGAAGCUUGACGGAUGAUUUCUUCGGAAUGAAACCAGAUAUGACUUAGUGGCGGACGGGUGAGUAACACGUGAGCAACCUGCCUUUCAGAGGGGGAUAACGGCUGGAAACGGUCGCUAAUACCGCAUGAUGUGUUCGGAUGGCAUCAUCUGAACAUCAAAGAUUUAUCGCUGAAAGAUGGGCUCGCGUCUGAUUAGAUAGUUGGUGGGGUAACGGCCUACCAAGUCGACGAUCAGUAGCCGGACUGAGAGGUUGAACGGCCACAUUGGGACUGAGAUACGGCCCAGACUCCUACGGGAGGCAGCAGUGGGGAAUAUUGCACAAUGGGGGAAACCCUGAUGCAGCAACGCCGCGUGAAGGAUGACGGUUUUCGGAUUGUAAACUUCUUUUCUUAGUGAUGAAGACAGUGACGGUAGCUAAGGAAUAAGCAUCGGCUAACUACGUGCCAGCAGCCGCGGUAAUACGUAGGAUGCAAGCGUUAUCCGGAUUUACUGGGUGUAAAGGGAGCGCAGGCGGGACUGCAAGUUGGAUGUGAAAUACCGUGGCUUAACCACGGAACUGCAUCCAAAACUGUAGUUCUUGAGUGAAGUAGAGGCAAGCGGAAUUCCGAGUGUAGCGGUGAAAUGCGUAGAUAUUCGGAGGAACACCAGUGGCGAAGGCGGCUUGCUGGGCUUUAACUGACGCUGAGGCUCGAAAGUGUGGGGAGCAAACAGGAUUAGAUACCCUGGUAGUCCACACUGUAAACGAUGAUAGCUAGGUGUGGGGGGUCUGACCCCUUCCGUGCCGGAGUUAACGCAAUAAGCUAUCCACCUGGGGAGUACGACCGCAAGGUUGAAACUCAAAGGAAUUGACGGGGGCCCGCACAAGCAGUGGAUUAUGUGGUUUAAUUCGAAGCAACGCGAAGAACCUUACCAGGUCUUGACAUCCGAC
rnacentral:rRNA from 1 species